GUAGAAGGAUAACAUGACAUAGCAGGAAUAAUACUGCCUUUUCUUUCUGGCAUGGAUCAAGAGAAAAGAAAAUACAAGAAAACAGACAGAAGCAAGGCAAGCUACAUCUAUAGAAGGGUGAGCCCUCACAGAUGGAGCAAUGGUGAGUGCACACCUGAACAAGGGAGGGGAAGGAGUUCUUAUCCCUGACGCAUGUGGCCCCUGCUGCUGUGUCGUUCUCCUAUUGGCUAAGGCUUCUGAUAGCUUUGGAGAUUGUGACAUUGGAAUACAGAAAAAACGUACAGGACUCAUGAAGAGCUGAAAUGUUCACAAAUAUCAAGCAAAAGUCAAUGACAUUUAUUUUGAGCUAUUUACAGCGUUUCAUAAUUGAGCAAGGUAUACUCCUAUGAACAAAAUUUGGAGCAUGUUUGUCUCUCUCUCUCUGCCUGGCAUCUUCAGAAUUUGGAAACUAGUUAAAAUUGUUGUCUUAUUUUUAUCCUCUUUAAAAGAUGGUUUAUAAUCAGCUAUAGAAUUUUGACACAUGCUCUCAAAUGCAGGUUUCUGUUAACUUUGGAGAUUGUGACAUUGGAAUAAAGGAAGAGCUGAAAUGUUCACGAAUAUCAAGCAAAAGUCAAGGAAAUUUAUUUUGAGCUAUUUACAGCAUUUAAUAAUUGAGCAAGGUAUAUUCCUAUGAACAAAAUUUGGAGCAUGUUUGUCUCUGUCUGUCUGCCUGGCGUCUACAGAAUUUGGAAACUAGUUUCUUUCUCAGAUUUCCUAAACUUUCCAGAGAAAAUGGUCUUCUCCCUGGCUCAGCAAGAAGAUGAACUUUAAACACUGAGAAAGUCAUCAUCUCC
rnacentral:lncRNA from 1 species